rnacentral:tRNA from 1 species
GCCGAAGUGGCGGAAUUGGCAGACGCACGGGACUUAAAAUCCCGCGGGCCCUAAAGCCCGUACCGGUUCGACCCCGGUCUUCGGCACCA